rnacentral:miRNA from 1 species
GGGUCCCGCCUUGCAUCAAC